rnacentral:rRNA from 1 species
GACGAACGCUGGCGGCGUGCUUAACACAUGCAAGUCGAACGGAAAGGCCCUGCUUUUGUGGGGUGCUCGAGUGGCGAACGGGUGAGUAACACGUGAGUAACCUGCCCUUGACUUUGGGAUAACUUCAGGAAACUGGGGCUAAUACCGGAUAGGAGCUCCUGCUGCAUGGUGGGGGUUGGAAAGUUUCGGCGGUUGGGGAUGGAUUCGCGGCUUAUCAGCUUGUUGGUGGGGUAGUGGCUUACCAAGGCUUUGACGGGUAGCCGGCCUGAGAGGGUGACCGGCCACAUUGGGACUGAGAUACGGCCCAGACGCGUACGGGAGGCAGCAGUGGGGAAUAUUACACAAUGGGCGGAAGCCUGAUGCAGCAACGCCGCGUGCGGGAUGACGGCCUUCGGGUUAUAAACCGCUUUCGCCUGUGACGAAGCGUGAGUGACGGUAAUGGGUAAAAAAGCACCGGCUAACUACGUG